ensembl:lncRNA
AAAUAGGCAGAAAAGUAGAGCUACCACCAAAGAGGGAAGGUCUGGGGAGCUAGUAAAGCUGGGUUCUAGUCCUAUCUGUUUAACAAACUUUAAAUCCCUGUGCAUAGAUAUAAUCUCUUCCUAGUUAUUUUUAUGUUGAUUAUUGGUGCUGGGAAUUGAACUCAGGGCCCUGUGCAUGUGUUCUGCCACUGAGAUACACCUCUAGGCCUAGAGUUAUUUUUAAAUUGUUAAGUUGAGGUGUUUGGAUGGUUCUUUUCAGAACAGUCAAUUGUCCUUUGGGAAUAGUUGGUUGACUAAUUCUUGAAACCUGUGGUAGUUGUAACUGGAGAAUGACUAGAUCAUAAGGUUAAUAGGGUAGGGAUCAUGGCUGUUUCGUUAACUAUUGAACACUGGACUCCUGUUCGUAUAGAUACCUGAUAAAACACUGCUGGAAUGGAACGAUUGAGGACUGGCUAGCCAGAAGAAUGUGUUUACUUCCAAUUCAGAGUUAGUUGCACGUAAAGCUCUUGAGCAAUGAAUCUAAAAGUUAAGAAUCAGUGUAAAUUUAGGGAAACUACAAAGGGAAGUAAAUUCUACAGUCCGCCUCCAUGGAUAAUAUGGGUGAGGAUUCUGAUACUCCAGUCUAUCACUGGUAUCUAUAGGUUAGGUACUUUUGUGACAUACCCAAAGAGCAUGACUCAUACUGAUAGAUCCACAAGUUAGACAAAAGUCUUUUCUAAAUGGAACAGAUGUCUGUGGUGUUGAUGUUACCUGACUCAACAGUGACUAAUUUCUUUAGUGGAUCCUGACCUUCCAUCUUCCCUCUUACUCUUGGCAUCUACCAUAAUCACCAGGCUAAUAUUCAUAGGUCCAGAUUAAACCCCAGAAAAAAUAAGAAAAGGCAAGGAUUGUGUUGUUGGUGCACACUGUUCUCAGGUUGGCAAAGUACAGCCUCAGAGAUCCAGCUUAACUGGAUGUUCCAGAACAAGGCUGUUUCAUGGGUAGACACAGCCCAGGCAGGGUGGGGAGAGUUACAAAAGCCACUCCUGUCCCCAGUCCAAACUAGCCAGGAUGCAGCAGAGGGACUGUUUUCUUUAAACUCAGCGCUUACAUAUGUGAACUUCUCUUGGCAUUUAAUUGCAUUCUUUUUUCCACAGUUCCUUUUCUGGUUUAGAGCUCAAAACACUCAUGCCAGGUAUCAUUGAAGUUGGCUAGGUAUUUGCAACUUGUUAAGUGUCUAGCUAAUGGAAAGUUGGGAAUCAGCGUUGGAAUCUUCCCCAGCAAGCUUUAAAGUGCUUUGUCAUAACUACGUCCUGUCUUUGAUGGUUGCAAACCGGAGGUUGAGAGUUCCAAUAGGCAUGCCAGUUUCUCAACAAAAUGAGCCGUAAUUAAUUUCAUUAUAAUUGUUUUCUUCUUUUGUUUUUCUGAUACCUACCUUCAGAACAGAAGUAACACCAAAGCACUUAGUUUCAUUAACAUUCAGAUAGACCACACUGGCAUCUCAUCAACUACCUUCCAAAGUGUCUUAAGGACAGCUGAUAUUUCUUUUAGUAAAUAUUAGAUUACAAAUUUAAAAUUUUAUUAUUAGCAGUACAUUUAGUUACUCUGUUUACAUUUUUCACUUAAUAGAUGUGGAAACUGGGUUUUAAAAAAGGUUGAGUAAUUUCCUCUAGGCCACAUUGCUAGGAGGCAGCAAAGUUAGAGCUAAAACCCAGUGAUCUUAACUCUCAAAUCAGUGCCCGUUUCUCUGUUCCCAAAAUAUAUUCCCUAAAAUGUGGCCCAUAAAAUGCUAUUGGUCCCCAAACCUCUUUCAGAGGGCCAAUAAGGUCCAAAGUAUCUUAACAAUACUAAGCUGAAUUAGCCUGAUUGUCAUUCUCUCAUGAGUGUGGAGUGGAAUUUGCCAAAGAUCCAUGACAUGAAAUACCACAACAAUGAAUAUGAAGGCAGAUAUGAGAAUCUAAUUGUCUUCUGUUAUGUCAGACAACAAAAAGAUUCUGCAAAGUUAUGAAACAAUGUCAUUAUUCUCACUAGUUUUUGAGAAAUACUUUUUGUUCAUAGCAAUGAAUUGUUUAUGUUGACAUAUAAUGAAAUUACUAUUUUUAUUACAAAAUAAAUAGUGUUAAAAAUUUCUCAGUUGUUAUUUACAUAUAUAUUAAAAUAUGAUGUGUUUAAAUAAAAAUAUUAUUACAGUAAAAGACACAUUGCCAUCAGUUCCCCUUGAAAUACUUUCCUCACAUUCUGAAGCAGUUCUGGAAGUUCUUCUUCCAGAGUGUCUUGAUGUCCUAGAUCAAUUAAAAACGUUUACUUUUCAUGGUCAUUUUAACUUUGAGGAAGAGCCACAAAUCCCAUGGUACCAGAUCCACUGAAUAAGGUGGAUGAGGACACACUGCAACAUUUUUGCUAGCCUGCUUGGCAUUGGAAGGCACACAGCAGCAGCAUUCAUUGUAUUUUUUCAUCACAUCCUGUAAGGACAUUCACAAAAGAGAACUUCCAGAACUGCUUCAGAAAGUGGAAAGAACCAUGAGAUAGUGUGUUCAAAGUGACGGGGAAUAUUUUGAGAAGGAUUCAUGGC